rnacentral:rRNA from 1 species
GAUGAACGCUAGCGGCAGGCUUAAUACAUGCAAGUCGAGGGGUAGCAAGAUUGUAGCAAUACAAUUGUUGACGACCGGCAAACGGGUGCGGAACACGUACACAACCUUCCUACAAGUGGGGAAUAGCCCAGAGAAAUUUGGAUUAAUACCCCGUAACAUAGCGAUGUGGCAUCACAUUGCUAUUAUAGCUUCGGCGCUUGUUGAUGGGUGUGCGGCUGAUUAGAUAGUUGGCGGGGUAACGGCCCACCAAGUCUACGAUCAGUAGCUGAUGUGAGGGCAUGAUCAGCCACACGGGCACUGAGACACGGGCCCGACUCCUACGGGAGGCAGCAGUAAGGAAUAUUGGACAAUGGACGCAAGUCUGAACCAGCCAUGCCGCGUGAAGGAUUAAGGCCCUCUGGAUUGUAAACUUCUUUUAUAAGGGACGAAAAAAGGUCUUUCUAGAUCGUCUGACGGUACCUUAUGAAUAAGCACCGGCUAACUCCGUGCCAGCCGCCGCCGUAAAAC